UACGUAGGGUGCGAGCGUUAAUCGGAAUUACUGGGCGUAAAGCGUGCGCAGGCGGUUUUGCAAGCCGGAUGUGAAAUCCCCGGGCUCAACCUGGGAAUGGCAUUCGGGACUGCAAGGCUGGAGUGCGGCAGAGGAGACUGGAAUUCCUGGUGUAGCAGUGAAAUGCGUAGAUAUCAGGAGGAAUACCGAUGGCGAAAGCAGGUCUCUGGGCUGACACUGACGCUCAUGCACGAAAGCGUGGGGAGCAAACAGG
rnacentral:rRNA from 1 species